AUACGAAAGGUGCAAGCGUUGUUCGGAUUUACUGGGCGUAAAGAGAGUGUAGGUUGUUUAUUAAGUCGGAUGUGAAAUCCCGGGGCCCAACCUCGGAACUGCAUUCGAUACUGGUAGACUAGAGUUCGGGAGGGGUAAGCGGAAUUCCGUGUGUAGCAGUGAAAUGCGUAGAUAUACGGAGGAACACCUGAGGCGAAGGCGGCUUACUGGACCGAUACUGACACUGAGACUCGAAAGCGUGGGUAGCAAACAGGAUUAGAAACCCUAGUAGUCC
rnacentral:rRNA from 1 species